GACCUGGUAGCACAUGGUGUGCAUCUGCUAUCUUUGCAAGAAACGGAAGACAGAGUUGUAGAAGGUCCCCCGUUCGAUUCGGGGUCGGGUCU